GUGAACGCUGGCGGUAGGCCUAACACAUGCAAGUCGAACGGCAGCACAGUAAGAGCUUGCUCUUACGGGUGGCGAGUGGCGGACGGGUGAGGAAUACAUCGGAAUCUACUUUUUCGUGGGGGAUAACGUAGGGAAACUUACGCUAAUACCGCAUACGACCUACGGGUGAAAGCAGGGGAUCUUCGGACCUUGCGCGAUUGAAUGAGCCGAUGUCGGAUUAGCUAGUUGGCGGGGUAAAGGCCCACCAAGGCGACGAUCCGUAGCUGGUCUGAGAGGAUGAUCAGCCGCACUGGAACUGAGGCACGGUCCAGACUCCUACGGGAGGCAGCAGUGGGGAAUAUUGGACAAUGGGCGCAAGCCUGAUCCAGCCAUACCGCGUGGGUGAAGAAGGCCUUCGGGUUGUAAAGCCCUUUUGUUGGGAAAGAAAAGCAGCAGGUUAAUACCCCGCUGUUCUGACGGUACCCAAAGAAUAAGCACCGGCUAACUUCGUG
rnacentral:rRNA from 1 species